AGAGUUUGAUCCUGGCUCAGAACGAACGCUGGCGGCGUGCUUAAGACAUGCAAGUCGUGCGAGAAAGCCACCUUCGGGUGGUGAGUAGAGCGGCGCACGGGUGAGUAACGCGUGGAUAAUCUACCUGUGGGUCUGGGAUAACUCCGGGAAACUGGGGCUAAUACCGGAUGAGACCACGGGACCUUCGGGUCUUGCGGAAAAAGGUGGCCUCUUCUUGAAAGCUACUGCCCAUCGAUGAGUCCGCGUCCCAUUAGCUUGUUGGUGAGGUAAGAGCUCACCAAGGCUUCGAUGGGUAGCUGGUCUGAGAGGAUGAUCAGCCACACUGGAACUGAGACACGGUCCAGACUCCUACGGGAGGCAGCAGUCGGGAAUUUUGCGCAAUGGGGGAAACCCUGACGCAGCGACGCCGCGUGGAGGACGAAGGCCUUCGGGUCGUAAACUCCUGUCAAGUGGGACGAAUCCAGAGCGAUGAAUAAGCGCUUUGGUUGACGGUACCAUUGGAGGAAGCCCCGGCUAACUCCGUGCCAGCAGCCGCGGUAAUACGGAGGGGGCUAGCGUUGUUCGGAAUUAUUGGGCGUAAAGGGCGCGUA
rnacentral:rRNA from 1 species